GAAGGGUAUAGAGAAAGGGAAAUAACAGAUACCUGCUUGAGAUAUAUACAUAUAUCUCAAGCAGGUAUCUGUUAUUUCCCCUUUCAAGCA